GCGGUGGAGUAUGUGGUUAAUUCGACGCAACGCGCAGAACCUUACCUGGUCUUGACAUCCCGGGAAUUCCUUGAAAGAGGGAAGUGCCUCGCAAGAGGAGCCUGGAGACAGGUGGUGCAUGGUUGUCGUCAGCUCGUGUCGUGAGAUGUUGGGUUAAGUCCCGCAACGAGCGCAACCCUUAUCCCCAGUUGCCAUCAGGUAAAGCUGGGAACUCUGGGGAGACUGCCGGUGAUAAACCGGAGGAAGGCGGGGAUGACGUCAAGUCCUCAUGGCCCUUACAUCCCGGGCUACACACGUGCUACAAUGGCAGGUACAGAGGGCUGCGAAGCCGCGAGGUGGAGCGAAUCCCAGAAAACCUGUCUCAGUCCGGAUUGAAGUCUGCAACUCGACUUCAUGAAGGCGGAAUCGCUAGUAACCGCGAAUCAGCAGGUCCGCGGUCGAAUACGUUCCCGGGCCUU
rnacentral:rRNA from 1 species